rnacentral:rRNA from 1 species
UACGUAGGGGGCUAGCGUUGUCCGGAAUCAUUGGGCGUAAAGAGCGUGUAGGCGGCCCGGUAAGUCCGCUGUAAAAGUCAAAGGCUCAACCUUUGAAUGUCAGUGGAUACUGCCGGGCUAGAGUCCGGAAGAGGCGAGUGGAACUCCUGGUGUAGCGGUGGAAUGCGCAGAUAUCAGGAAGAACACCAACGGCGAAGGCAGCUCGCUAGGACGGUACUGACGCUGAGGAGCGAAAGCAUGGGGGAGCGAACAGG